CCAACCUUAAUGAUUCUGAUUCUAUGAAUCCAGUGCCUCUUGCCAGCUGCUGGGCUACAGUGCCCUGAGCCAAGAGAACAUUCAACCUCAUGAGUGUUAGGAUUAUGAAAUGCACAUUUGUGUCCCUUGGUGGCAGUGGUGGUGGUGGUGUUACCCUUUGUGCUAAUUGAGUUGCAGGGACAGAGUCCUCCUGAACACAGCUGCAACCUGCUUUCUUCACUGUGAUCAUUGAAUUAUCUGUCAUAAAGGACACACCUUGUUUUUCUAAACUGUCACUGGAUUUUACACAGGAACUAGGCCAGAUGGAAGCACACAGCCUCCCCAGUACUGCCGUCUGCCUGCCAGUGGGAUGGAUUCCCACAUACUGAUGGAGAUUGAUGGCUGCUCUCCAUGGACCAUCCUGCAGAACACAAAAUGAGAAAUGCCCUCAAUCUCCUCUGAAUUUCAAACUACAGUGGUUGAGGAAAUACGAAGAGCAGUAGAAGGACAUUCUCAGGGCAAAAAGAAGUCUGUAACAAUUUUGGUGGCGAAAUCUGUUAUGCUGUUUGCUAUGUUUGUGGCCCCUCAGCUCCACCUGCAGUUAAUGGAGAAGAAAAGGAUAUGUAAUAACUCCCAGGCUAGGUUUUGACUCCUAACUUUUCCUGGAGGCAGCAUGUGACAAGCAGCUCAAAAGACAAAGGUGGCAUUAAUAUCCUUCUACACUGGCAAGAAAUCUUGUUGUAUUACCAUCAGCACAGCUAUUAAUCAAUUCCAGCAUGUAUGAGCUCUCAGUGACAUUAACUCCUCAGCAGUUCCUCUGGGCAACCAUAUCACAUAACCCUUGUUGUUUCUUGGCGUGAAAGACACAAUAACCUGAAAAGCAGUGACUGUCAUAACCACCUGGCAUACUUGGAAAAAGCAAGCUUUGCAAUAGAAAUUGGCUGAGAAACAAACAUCCCACAAGGACAUCAAAGAAUUGGCAUGCUCUUACUUCAAGCAAUCAGAAUAAUAUAGCAACGUGUUAUUCCUCUGAGCACAGCUCAGACUUCAUCCCUCGAGUUAUUCUGCAAAACAAGCUCUAAAAGCAGUGCUGCUGAUGUAACUACAGCCACAACAUAACCUUCAACACAGACUUCUGGCCUCCUGCGUCCAUUAGGAUCACAUAUUACGUACUCACUGAUCAACACAGAAAUGCAGUCAGCCAUGUGCCGUGUAGACCUGGCCAAGAGAAAUAAAAAAUUACAGAUCUCAGUGUCUCCUGAGAAG
rnacentral:lncRNA from 1 species